CAUUAGAGGUUGUGUACAACUCUGGACCCACUUCCAUACAAUGACAGCAUUCGAAUGUGUGAAAGUGAGGCCAGUGUGGUAAACAACUUCUGCCU
rnacentral:pre_miRNA from 1 species